GGGAAACUGUGACACCAAAGCACCGCUGGGUCAAAAAAGGCGGGCUGAACAGAUUUGAUCAUGUCUCCUCAUCACCUAUGUCGAAGCAGUGGACCCCCGGCAGACAUUCAGUGGCAUCAGGACAGGAAGCUCCUCCAAACAGACUAGAUCCAGAAAUGCUGGAUGAGGACAAAGGAAACACCAGCAUCUACGGAGGUGGAGAUAGUGAUCUCCAUCCAGAUCCAGACCCAUGACUGAGCAGGAAGAUGCCGCAGUGAGUCUGGGAGGAUGGAAGGUCUGCUUGACCUCAGGCUGCUAUGCCUGUUUAUGAAGCUUUUCUAAUAAAGAACAUGUUCAGUU